CAAAAGAAGGGCGGGGCUACCAUGCAGUCGACGAUGAAGCCCAGCUUGCUGGGUGGAUUAGUGGCGAACGGGUGAGUAACACGUGAGUAACCUGCCCUUGACUCUAGGAUAAGCCCGGGAAACUGGGUCUAAUACUGGAUAGGAACGUCUACCGCAUGGUGGGUGUUGGAAAGAAUUUCGGUCAUGGAUGGACUCGCGGCCUAUCAGCUUGUUGGUGAGGUAAUGGCUCACCAAGGCGACGACGGGUAGCCGGCCUGAGAGGGUGACCGGCCACACUGGGACUGAGACACGGCCCAGACUCCUACGGGAGGCAGCAGUGGGGAAUAUUGCACAAUGGGCGAAAGCCUGAUGCAGCGACGCCGCGUGAGGGAUGACGGCCUUCGGGUUGUAAACCUCUUUCAGUAGGGAAGAAGCGAAAGUGACGGUACCUGCAGAAGAAGCACCGGCUAACUACGUGCCAGCAGCCGCGGUAAUACGUAGGGUGCGAGCGUUAUCCGGAAUUAUUGGGCGUAAAGAGCUCGUAGGCGGUUUGUCGCGUCUGUCGUGAAAGUCCGGGGCUUAACCCCGGAUCUGCGGUGGGUACGGGCAGACUAGAGUGCAGUAGGGGAGACUGGAAUUCCUGGUGUAGCGGUGGAAUGCGCAGAUAUCAGGAGGAACACCGAUGGCGAAGGCAGGUCUCUGGGCUGUAACUGACGCUGAGGAGCGAAAGCAUGGGGAGCGAACAGGAUUAGAUACCCUGGUAGUCCAUGCCGUAAACGUUGGGCACUAGGUGUGGGGAACAUUCCACGUUUUCCGCGCCGCAGCUAACGCAUUAAGUGCCCCGCCUGGGGAGUACGGCCGCAAGGCUAAAACUCAAAGGAAUUGACGGGGGCCCGCACAAGCGGCGGAGCAUGCGGAUUAAUUCGAUGCAACGCGAAGAACCUUACCAAGGCUUGACAUGUUCUCGAUCGCCGUAGAGAUACGGUUUCCCCUUUGGGGCGGGUUCACAGGUGGUGCAUGGUUGUCGUCAGCUCGUGUCGUGAGAUGUUGGGUUAAGUCCCGCAACGAGCGCAACCCUCGUUCCAUGUUGCCAGCACUUCGGGUGGGGACUCAUGGAGACUGCCGGGGUCAACCUCGGAGGAGGUGGGGACGACGUCAAAUCAUCAUGCCCCUUAUGUCCUGGGCUUCACGCAUGCUACAAUGGCCGGGUACAAUGUC
rnacentral:rRNA from 1 species